GCCGGCGUGAUGGAAUUGGUAGACGUAGCGGACUCAAAAUCCGCCGAUGGCAACAUCAUGUGGGUUCGAGUCCCACCGCCGGCACCA
rnacentral:tRNA from 1 species